GAUGAACGCUGGCGGCGUGCUUAACACAUGCAAGUCGAGCGAAGCACUUAACUUUGAUUCUUUCGGGAUGAAGAGUUCUGUGGCUGAGCGGCGGACGGGUGAGUAACGCGUGGGUAACCUGCCUCAUACAGGGGGAUAACAGUUAGAAAUGGCUGCUAAUACCGCAUAAGACCACAGCACCGCAUGGUGCAGGGGUAAAAACUCCGGUGGUAUGAGAUGGACCCGCGUCUGAUUAGCUAGUUGGUGGGGUAACGGCCUACCAAGGCGACGAUCAGUAGCCGACCUGAGAGGGUGACCGGCCACAUUGGGACUGAGACACGGCCCAAACUCCUACGGGAGGCAGCAGUGGGGAAUAUUGCACAAUGGGGGAAACCCUGAUGCAGCGACGCCGCGUGAGCGAAGAAGUAUUUCGGUAUGUAAAGCUCUAUCAGCAGGGAAGAAAAUGACGGUACCUGACUAAGAAGCCCCGGCUAACUACGUGCCAGCAGCCGCGGUAAUACGUAGGGGGCAAGCGUUAUCCGGAUUUACUGGGUGUAAAGGGAGCGUAGACGGCGAGGCAAGUCUGAUGUGAAAACCCGGGGCUCAACCCCGUGACUGCAUUGGAAACUGUUUUGCUUGAGUGCCGGAGAGGUAAGCGGAAUUCCUAGUGUAGCGGUGAAAUGCGUAGAUAUUAGGAGGAACACCAGUGGCGAAGGCGGCUUACUGGA
rnacentral:rRNA from 1 species